rnacentral:misc_RNA from 1 species
CCAAUAGCGUAUAUUAAAGUUGUUGCAGUUAAAAAGCUCGUAGUUGAAUUUCGGAGUUUGUCGGUUGGUCGGGCUUCACUGUCCGCACUGGCCUGAUGGAUUCCUACCUUCUGAAUAACCAGCAUGCUAUUAAGUUAGUGCGUUGGGGAAGCAGAGCUAUUACCUUGAAAAAAUUAGAGUGCUUAAAGCAGGCUUAUGCUUGCAUAGAUUAGCAUGGAAUAAUAAAAUAGGACGGCAUGGUUCUAUUUUGUUGGUUUCUAGGAUCACCGUAAUGAUUAAUAGGGAUAGUUGGGGGCAUUAGUAUUCAAUUGUCAGAGGUGAAAUUCUUGGAUUUAUUGAAGACUAACUUCUGCGAAAGCAUUUGCCAAGGAUGUUUUCAUUAAUCAAGAACGAAAGUUAGGGGAUCGAAGACGAUCAGAUACCGUCGUAGUCUUAACCAUAAACUAUGCCGACUAGGGAUCGGACGAUGUUAAUUUUUUAAUGACUCGUUCGGCGCCUUACG